rnacentral:rRNA from 1 species
CAGCAGUAGGGAAUAUUGGUCAAUGGGCGAAAGCCUGAACCAGCCAUGCCGCGUGUCAGAUGAAGGUCCUCUGGAUUGUAAAUGACUUUUCUACGGGAAGAAUGAGCCGUCUGCGGACGGAAGUUGACGGUACCCGUAGGAAUAAGCACCGGCUAACUACGUGCCAGCAGCCGCGGUAAUACGUAGGGUGCAAGCGUUGUCCGGAUUUACUGGGUUUAAAGGGUACGUAGGCGGUUGUGCCAAGUCUGGGGUGAAAGUUUGCAGCUCAACUGUAAAAAUUGCCUUGGAUACUGGUCGGCUAGAGUAGUGGAGCGGUGGCUGGAAUUUAUAGUGUAGCGGUGAAAUGCUUAGAUACUAUGAGGAACACCAAUUGCGAAGGCAGGUCACUGGUCACUAACUGACGCUGAGGUACGAAAGUGUGGGGAUCAAACAGGAUUAGAUACCCUGGUAG